rnacentral:rRNA from 1 species
GACGGAGGGUGCGAGCGUUAUUCGGAAUCAUUGGGCGUAAAGAGCGUGUAGGCGGCCGGUUAAGUCAGGUGUGAAAGCCCGGGGCUCAACCUCGGAAGUGCACUUGAAACUGGUCGGCUUGAGUUCGGGAGAGGGAAGCGGAAUUCCUGGUGUAGAGGUGAAAUUCGUAGAUAUCAGGAGGAACAUCGGUGGCGAAGGCGGCUUCCUGGACCGAAACUGACGCUGAGACGCGAAAGCGUGGGGAGCAAACAGG